UACGGAGGGUGCAAGCGUUGUUCGGAAUUAUUGGGCGUAAAGCGCGUGUAGGCGGCUUUGCAAGUCGGGUGUGAAAGCCCUCAGCUCAACUGAGGAAGUGCGCCCGAAACUGCAGAGCUUGAGUGCCGGAGAGGGUGGCGGAAUUCCCCAAGUAGAGGUGAAAUUCGUAGAUAUGGGGAGGAACACCGGUGGCGAAGGCGGCCACCUGGACGGUAACUGACGCUGAGACGCGAAAGCGUGGGUAGCAAACAGG
rnacentral:rRNA from 1 species